rnacentral:rRNA from 1 species
CCUACGGGAGGCAGCAGUGGGGAAUAUUGGACAAUGGGGGGAACCCUGAUCCAGCGACGCCGCGUGAGUGCAGAAGUAUUUCGGUAUGUAAAGCUCUAUCAGCAGGGAAGAAAGAAAUGACGGUACCUGACUAAGACGCCCCGGCUAACUACGUGCCAGCAGCCGCGGUAAUCCGUAGGGGGCAAUCGUUAUCCGGAUGUACUGGUUGUAAAGGGAGCGUAGACGGCGAGGCAAGUCUGAAGUGAAAGGCGGUGGCCCAAACCCCGGACUGCUUUGGACACGGUAUGGCUGGAGUGCAGGAGAGGUAAGUGGAAUUCCUGGUGUAGCGGUGAAAUGCGUAGAUAUUAGGAGGAACACCAGUGGCGAAGGCGGCUUACUGGACUGUAACUGACGUUGAGGCUCGAAAGCGUGGGGAGCAAACAGGAUUAGAUACCCCAGUAGUC